rnacentral:lncRNA from 1 species
GACACUUGGCACAUGGACACUUGAUUUUACCACAUUCGGCUACACCGGGACAAGAGAAUGCAUGGUCUAGAAAUCGGUUGGUUUGUUCAAGCCAUAAGUUAGAAGGUAUUUGACCAUACUGCCAACCACUAUACAUCCAUGCAUGAUCUGCCAUCUAACAAAUUCUAUGUUGAAAGUGGAAUAUAUCAGCUAUUUGAUUAUUUAAUCUCAACACAUCAUACUUAAGAUGAGUUAUUCAACAACAGCAAUACAUGUGUAGCAAUUGGAAUCAAAUAGAUGUACACAUAAGAUAAACAUUUAAAGCUAAAAGUUAAAUGCUUACCAAAGGCUUGCUGAAAUAGUGAAAAAAUGUGGAGUCACCAAGCUGGCUAACAAACUCCCAAAGUCCACUAGCAGAUCCAAGAUCUAAUCC